UAUCUCUCUUCAUAAAAGGUUACCUUGUACAGCUCUGCAUUUUUGCUUUGCUAUAUAGUCACUUUCCACAUAUGUGUAUGUCUGUAAGCAGAGAUACAGGCUGGUUUUUAUGUUUUAAAUUGUUUUUUUGGUCUUCAACUAUCCUCUUUUCUGUGUGUCUGCACAUAUAAGCAAAAUGUAAACUGAAUAGCUCAGUAUAAGAUCCAUGCUUCCUUAGCCACACUUAACUUACAGAUCUGUGGUAUAAAAUGAAUAAACUUCCUCCCAGGGGUCUGAGAGUAAAAAUGUUUAGAAAAAAAAAAAUCCAGAAAAUAAACCAGUCUGAAUACAAAAUGCAUCCCCCUGAGUUACUUAGGUUUUGAUUCCUUAGUCAUGUUACCAGUUUUUUAGUCUUCUUAGAGUUUUAUAGAUAGCUAUUCCUAUAAAUAUGUGUAAAAAAAAAAAAGUCAUAGUUGGGCUAGGGUACUUUUCAUCAUUACUUUCAUAGUACUAUGCAUGUGAGGUUUGUGUUGUUAUUUCAGUUUUUCCAGCUGAAGAACCUAAGGCACAGAAAGGAUCAAAAUUUGUCCCUGAAGAGAAAACUACUGAGUGAGCCAGAAACCAAAUGCAAGCCCAUCUGUGUAAUCUGCAGGGAGAAAUGUACAAACAGCUGGGAGAGCAAGGAGGAGCUGCAUUGUGCAGUGGGAGUUCUUUGGAGCAGAAUUUUGGGGUGCUGGAGUGGAUCUCAAUAGCAACAUGAAUCUUUUCUGUUUUUCUCUGGUAAGUGUACACACACAUUUUUCUUUACAGGGUUGCUGAGCUGAUAAACUGAACCAGUGGGUGUGUUUGGAAGGAAAAAAAUUCAAGGUGUUGUAUCAUCAAGUGUACAAAGAUUGUGUAAUGACAAUGAUUCUCUCUAACAUAGAGGAAAGAAUUUAUGUAUGAGAAAUUAUACAUAACAAAACAUGAUUCAGUAAAAAUAAGAUAAAGUAAAAAGCAUAUUACAAAUGUGCUGUGUGAC
rnacentral:lncRNA from 1 species